rnacentral:antisense_RNA from 1 species
UGUUAUGGCGGCUAUACGCGGGCACGCCUCGGCGUGACCGGGUCUUGUGUGUGCCGGUUCCUACCCCGCGUAUAGCUGCCACCUGG